UACCUGGUUGAUCCUGCCAGUAGUCAUAUGCUUGUCUCAAAGAUUAAGCCAUGCAAGUCUAAGUACGAGCUCUCGUACAGUGAAACUGCGAAUGGCUCAUUAAAUCAGUUAUGGUUCAUUUGAUCGUACAGUUUACUUGGAUAACUGUGGUAAUUCUAGAGCUAAUACAUGCGAGAAGCGCCGACCUCGCGGGAGGCGUGCAUUUAUCAGACCAAAAACCGGCCGCGUCUUCGGGCGCGUUCGCCUUGGUGACUCUGGAUAACUUUGCGGAUCGCACGGUCUAGCACCGGCGACGGAUCAUUCAAGUGUCUGCCCUAUCAACUUUCGUCGGUACGGUAUUUGCCUACCGAGGUUCUUACGGGUGACGGGGAAUCAGGGUUCGAUUCCGGAGAGGGAGCCUGAGAAACGGCUACCACAUCCAAGGAAGGCAGCAGGCGCGCAAAUUACCCAUUCCCGACGCGGGGAGGUAGUGACGAAAAAUAACAAUGCAGGACUCGUUCGAGGCCCUGUAAUUGGAAUGAGUACACUUUAAAAGCUUUAACGAGUAUCCAUUGGAGGGCAAGUCUGGUGCCAGCAGCCGCGGUAAUUCCAGCUCCAAAAGUAUAUAUUUAAGUUGUUGCGGUUAAAAAGCUCGUAGUUGGAUUUGGGCGCAGGA
rnacentral:ncRNA from 1 species